AAUUGCAGGGAAGAAAUACAGAUGACAUGCAUGUGGAAUGGGAUGCUACGUAGUUUAUGAAGAUGACACACUGGCAUGUGAAAGGUUUCUGGGCGCGACCCACUCGUUGCAGUACCAAGAGUUUUGUUUAUUUACAGUGUGUCACUGAAAGAAAGCCGGAAAGCUUCAACUGGACGCUUACGUUAAUAACAGUGAGGAGAAAGGAGGGUACACGCAAACGAACAUCUGGAUACGCAGAUCGCCGUCUGGGCCCCCGGGGCAGUGGACCAAACCCAGGUCACUCCCCCCUCCUACCGUCCUUCCAUCUGCGCACAAAGAACGGGCAGCUUUAGGGAUUCCAGUGAGCAGUGACGGGAGCAUGAGAGAGCAUCCAAAGAAGGAGAAAUCACGGGGAUAAAUUUUCACACAGAGUUCCUCUUGCUCAUGGGGUGCCGCAAGCAGAGGCCUUGCACCGGCACUUCAGUCCAGGGUUCCUGUUGCGAAACAGCUGCGUCCCACACCUCAGCUCCGGGCCGUGUACAGACGCGCUGAGCCUGACACCUAAAUCCAAGAUGGCGGCGGCGGCAGCGGCGGGCCGUGUGCAAAGAGGCUGCACCCGGCACUGAUCCGGGUGAAUGCCAGGAGCAGCACAGCCGCGCCUGCCCAGUGAGAACUCUGCCCCCCAACCCCUCCACGAGACCCCCUCCACGAGAUCCCCAUAAAGCAACCACGCCCCGGGGCCUGUGGGCCUCUUGCCGAGAGCCAGUGCUGCAGAGCUGAGCUCACACCUCUCCAUUCUCUAAUCGAAGAAUAAAGCUU